rnacentral:rRNA from 1 species
CAUCGCCCCUUGUAAAUAAAAUAAAAAUAAGGGGUACUGCCUGCCCAGUGACUAAAAAUUCAACGGCCGCGGUAUCUUGACCGUGCAAAGGUAGCAUAAUAAUUUGCUCUUUAAUUGAGGGCUAGUAUGAAAGGCAAGACGAAAGCUUAACUGUCUCCCUUUUAAAAAAGAAAUUAAUAUCUUAGUGAAGAAGCUAAAAUAAAACUGCAAGACGAGAAGACCCUGUCGAGCUUAAGAAAAUUUUUAUAAAAAAAAGAAAAGCUAAUUUUACUUUAAUUAAUUAUACUUUUUUACUAAAAAUAAGAAUAUCUUUGGUUGGGGCAACCACGAAGAAAAAAAAACCUUCGAUUUUUAUAAAAAAUAAACAAAUUUAAAAACUUAAUACUAAAGUUUAAAAGAUCCGGGAAAACUAAAACCGAUCAAAGAAAAAAGUUACCGCAGGGAUAACAGCGUUAUUCUCUUUAAGAGCCCAUAUUGACAAGAGAGUUUGCGACCUCGAUGUUGGACCGGGGCAUCCAAGAGAUGCAGAAGUCUCUAAAGGUAGGUCUGUUCGACCUUUAAAGCCCUACGUGA